GGGCGGCUWAACGGUCNYKCUAGAGGGCAGGAGAGGUGCGUGGAAUUCCUGGUGGAGCGGUGAAAUGCGUAGAGAUCAGGAAGAACACCCGUGGCKAAGGCGGCGCACUGGCCUKGCCCUKACGCUKAGGCGCKACAGCGUGGGGAGCGAACGGGAUUAGAUACCCCGGUAGUCCACGCCGUAAACGAUGGGUACUAGGUGUCGCCGGGUCCACCGGGCGGUGCCAGASSUAACGCACUAAGURCCCNGCCUGGGGAGUACGGCCGCAAGGU
rnacentral:rRNA from 1 species